rnacentral:rRNA from 1 species
AUUCGCCCUUGUGCCAAGCAGCCGCGGUAAUUCCAGCUCCAAUAGCGUAUAUUAAAGUUGUUGCAGUUAAAAAGCUCGUAGUUGAACCGAUAACAGUGUUAACUGUUGUGUUACUGUGAGUAAAUUAGAGUGUUCAAGGCAAUCAGUCGAUUGAAUAUAUUAGCAUGGAAUAACAUUAUAGUUGAUAUACAACGCAUAAUUAACAGGGACAGUCGAGGGCAUUAGUAUUAUUCAGUCAGAGGUGAAAUUCUUGGAUUUGACAUACGACCAACAGAAGCGAAAGCAUUUGCCAAGAAUGUUUUCAUUAAUCAAGAACGAAAGUUAGGGGAUCAAAGACGAUUAGAUACCGUCGUAGUCCUAACCAUAAACUAUGCCAACUGGAGAUUUGCAGUAAUCCUUAUUAUUGCAAGUAUCCUAUGAGAAAUCAAUAUAGUUUUUAGGUUCUGGGGAGAGUAUGGUCGCAAGACUGAAAUUUAAAGGAAUUGACGGAAGGGCACCACCAGGAGUGGAGCUUGCGGCUUAAUUUGACUCAACACGGGAAAUCUCACCAGGUCCAGACAUGCAAAGGAUUGACAGUCACAUUAUCAAAGCUCUUUCUUGAUCGUAUGAAAGGUGGUGCAUGGCCGUUCUUGGUUGGUGGAGUGAUUUGUCUGGUUAAUUCCGAUAACGAACGAGACCUCAUCCCAGUGAUUGCAUGAAUCAACUGUGUUAUCAGUUGUCAUUAUCACGUAGGGACUAGCUA